rnacentral:rRNA from 1 species
CUACGUGCCAGCAGCCGCGGUAAUACGUAGGUGGCAAGCGUUGUCCGGAAUUAUUGGGCGUAAAGCGCGCGCAGGCGGAUCAGUCAGUCUUACUUAAAAGUGCGGGGCUCAACCCCGUGAUGGGAGAGAAACUAUCGGUCUUGAGUACAGGAGAGGAAAGCGGAAUUCCCAGUGUAGCGGUGAAAUGCGUAGAUAUUGGGAAGAACACCAGUGGCGAAGGCGGCUUUCUGGACUGCAACUGACGCUGAGGCUCGAAAGCCAGGGGAGCGAACGGGAUUAGAUACCCCGGUAGUCCUGGCCGUAAACGAUGGAUACUAGGUGUGGGAGGUAUCGACCCCUUCUGUGCCGGAGUUAACGCAAUAAGUACCCCGCCUGGGGAGUACGACCGCAAGGUUGAAACUCAAAGGAAUUGACGGGGGCCCGCACAAGCGGUGGAGUAUGUGGUUUAAUUCGACGCAACGCGAAGAACCUUACCAGGUCUUGACAUUGAUGGACAGAACUAGAGAUAG